UACAGAGGUCUCGAGCGUUGUUCGGAUUCAUUGGGCGUAAAGGGCGCGUAGGCUGCGGGGCAAGUCGGGUGUGAAAUCUCAGAGCUCAACUCUGAAACUGCACUCGAUACUGCCGUGCUUGAGGACUGGAGAGGAGACUGGAAUUUACGGUGUAGCAGUGAAAUGCGUAGAUAUCGUGAGGAAGACCAGUGGCGAAGGCGGGGUCUCUGGACAGUUCCUGACGCUGAGGCGCGAAGGCCAGGGGGAGCAAACGGGG
rnacentral:rRNA from 1 species